GAAAUGCGAUAAGUAAUGUGAAUUGCAGAAUCCAGUGAAUCAUCGAAUCUUUGAACGCACCUUGCGCUCCUUGGCAUUCCGAGGAGCAUGCCUGUUUGAGUGUCAUGA
rnacentral:rRNA from 1 species